rfam:Ogataea parapolymorpha DL-1 chromosome V, whole genome shotgun sequence.
GGGUCGGUAGUCUAGUGGUAUGAUUCCUGCUUUGGGAGCAGGAGGUCCAGGGUUCAAUUCCCUGUCGACCCC